UGGCCAGCUGAAGGUUUGAGACUCAGGAUGGGGUCAUGGCUGAGACUAUGAGGGCUGCUCGUGCAUGACCCUGCCUGCUGGCCUCCAUGGGCCCACUAUCUGAAUGUGGUUACCCUUCUCCCCAGGACCAGGUGCCACCUCCUCUGGGAAGCUUUCCCUGCCCGUCCACAGGGUAUGCCUCCUUGUUCCUCUCCUGCCAUCGGUUUACGUGCCUGUCUCCAUCAACAGACCAGGAGCUCCUGAGGACAGGGACUGAGUCUGCCUGAUUCAUCUCUGCAUUCCUAGCACUUACCUUGGUGCUUAGUGAAAGCUCGAACCUGCCUGGGUUCCCACCUUGUCUCUGCUACCCCCAGCUCUGUGAACUCAGAGUCAUUUUUCUCUCCCCGAGUGGCACCGGGCUCAGCAGACACUCUGGCCAUGAAGGCAUCUUCUGACUCAAGCAGGCUGGAGUGCAAUGGCGUGAUCUCGGCUCACUGCAACCUCUGCCUCCCAGGUUCAAGCAAUUCUCCUGCCUCAGCCUCCCGAGUAGCUGGGAUUAUAGGCAUGCACCACCACGCCCAGAGCCAACUACUAAGCCUGUAGCAGCCUCCCAAACUGCCCAGUCUUGUUCAGAUGCACCUCCAGAAACACAGGGGUCCAAAAUGCCCCUUCCCAGACACCCUGAGGAGUAGAACAGUGCCAGCAGGCUCCAGGGAUGAGGGACUAGCUACCACAUUCCCUUUCCCAAGCCUCAGUUUCCCCACCUGUAAGAUGAGGGAUAUGGGCUCUGACUUUCUGAGUUUGGAAAAUAAAGUGCUCCCCAAACUGG
rnacentral:lncRNA from 1 species